rnacentral:rRNA from 1 species
AUUGAACGCUGGCGGCAGGCCUAACACAUGCAAGUCGAGCGGAGCGGCGGACGGGUGAGUAAUGCCUAGGAAUCUGCCUGGUAGUGGGGGAUAACGUCCGGAAACGGGCGCUAAUACCGCAUACUAUCAGAUGAGCCUAGGUCGGAUUAGCUAGUUGUUGGGGUAAAGGCCUACCAAGGCGACGAUCCGUAACUGAUCUGAGAGGAUGAUCAGUCACACUGGAAGUGAAAAACGGUGAAGACUCCUACGGGAGGCAGCAGUGGGGAAUAUUGGACAAUGGGCUAAAUCCUGAACCAGCAAUGCCACGUGUGGGAAGAAGGUCUUCGGAUUGUAAAGCAUUUUAAGUUGGGAGGCGUUACCAACAGAAUAAGCACAAGCUAACUUCGUGCCAGCCGCCGCGGUAAUAC